CGGGCAGUAGCUAAUCGGUAGAGCUUUCGCCUUAUGCGCGAAAAGACCUGGGUUCAACUCCCGGUUGCUUCG
rfam:Toxocara canis scaffold456, whole genome shotgun sequence.